rnacentral:rRNA from 1 species
AACGAACGCUGGCGGCAGGCUUAGCACAUGCAAGUCGAACGCUCCGCAAGGAGAGUGGCAGACGGGUGAGUAACGCGUGGGAAUCUACCCAUCUCUACGGAAUAACGCAUGGAAACGUGUGCUAAUACCGUAUACGCCCUACGGGGGAAAGAUUUAUCGGGGUAUGAUGAGCCCGCGUUGGAUUAGCUAGUUGGUGGGUA